rnacentral:rRNA from 1 species
ACCCGCUGAAUUUAAGCAUAUCAAUAAGCGGAGGAAAAGAAACUAACAAGGAUUCCCCUAGUAACGGCGAGUGAAGAGGGAAGAGCCCAAGAUUGAAAGCUGGCGUCUUCGGCGUCCGCAUUGUAAUCUCAAGAAGUGUUUUCCGCUUCGGACCAAGCCUAAGUCCCUUGGAAAAGGGCAUCAUAGAGGGAGAUAAUCCCGUACAUGGCUUGGAGCGCCCGAAGCUUUGUGAUACGCUUUCUAAGAGUCGAGUUGUUUGGGAAUGCAGCUCAAAAUGGGUGGUAAAUGCCAUCUAAGGCUAAAUAUUGGGGAGAGACCGAUAGCGAACAAGUACAGUGAUGGAAAGAUGAAAAGAACUUUGAAAAGAGAGUUAAACAGUACGUGAAAUUGCCAAAAGGGAAGGGUAGGAGGUCAGAGAUGCGGCCUGGGAUUCAGCCUUGCUUUUGCUUGGUGUUUUUCCCAGAUUGCAGGCCAACGUCGGUUUUGGGCACUGGAGAAGGGUAGGAGGAACGUGGCACCUCUCGGGGUGUGUUAUAGCCUCCUACUGGAUACAGCGACCGAGACCGAGGACAGCAGCGUACUCGCAAGAGCGGGCCUUCGGGCACCUUUACGCUUAAGGGCGUUGGCAUAAUGGCCCUCUACCACCCGUCUUGAAACACGGACCAAGGAG